rnacentral:rRNA from 1 species
CCUACGGGUGGCAGCAGUGAGGAAUAUUGGUCAAUGGACGAGAGUCUGAACCAGCCAAGUAGCGUGAAGGAUGACUGCCCUAUGGGUUGUAAACUUCUUUUAUAUGGGAAUAAAAUGUUCCACGUGUGGGAUUUUGUAUGUACCAUAUGAAUAAGGAUCGGCUAACUCCGUGCCAGCAGCCGCGGUAAUACGGAGGAUCCGAGCGUUAUCCGGAUUUAUUGGGUUUAAAGGGAGCGUAGGUGGAUUGUUAAGUCAGUUGUGAAAGUUUGCGGCUCAACCGUAAAAUUGCAGUUGAAACUGGCAGUCUUGAGUACAGUAGAGGUGGGCGGAAUUCGUGGUGUAGCGGUGAAAUGCUUAGAUAUCACGAAGAACUCCGAUUGCGAAGGCAGUUCACUGGACUGCAACUGUCACUGAGGCUCGAAAGUGUGGGUAUCAAACAGGAUUAGAUACCCGAGUAGUC